AUACAUUUCUCGGUCUUUUGGCUAAGAUCAAGUGUAGUAUCUGUUCUUAUUAGUUUAAUAUCUGAUAUGUGGGUUACACGCCCACAAUGAUAUUAAAUUUAUUUUUUAUGAAGAAAGGUCCAUUAUAGUAGCUUGCUACUGGGGCCCUCACGUGUCGCUUGGGCAUUGCACUAUUGCCCGGGCUUGGUGCACCCCAA